GUGUUGCGAUGUCGCUGAAGUUUUCUUUCUGUGUCUUCAGCUCCCUCUUCUUUAAAACUUAUUUCUUCUUUCCUUCGCCUGAGGUUGCCAGUAUCCUCCUUCUGUUUGCAGAUUCUCUCCUCAGUCAAAACGGGAAAAGAUCACACAUCAGUCUUUUCCAUUGGAUGGAUCGGUCUAUUUUUUUACUUCACUGAUUAACCAUUACCUCAGCCAAGCAUUUGCAUUUUAGGUCAUGUUAGUUCUCAGUGGCUAAAGGAAUGUCAGCUAUUGACAGAGGUUGGGGAAAUCUGAGCCAAGGCAGGAAGGACUGAAAUCAUUCAAAGAUCCUGAAGGAUGAAGCUCACGCGGGACUGGAAAAGAGGAAACGGCAAAGGAUACCAAGCUGGCGGGAAAUAUUGGACCACGUGCUCUAGCUCAUGGUUCCAGAUAAAGAGAAAGUGGGUAGAAUCAAGGGGCAAAUAAAGAAAGAUCCAUUUGCUCACAUUGUACUCCCAUCCUCUGAAGCAUGUUGAUAAAGCCCUAGAGACAUCAUUAAUUUCUCUUGCUAGUUUCCUCAAGCCUCAGUGGCCAGCCUUGAAAAGAUGUGGCAUUCUGUUACUACUAUAGUGCCCAUACUGGCCUGGAAGAAAUUGAAAGUGAAGUUAAUACCCAAGGAACAAAUGAAAGCUGCCUGUCUGUGGCAGAAUGUUCCAGCAGAGCAAGGGUGACUGCUGGGAUAGUAUGUGGUCCAAGGUUAGAACAGGCUAACAUUGAAGAGCCCUUGUUUCUGUGACUCUCUGAUAGUCAACAAAGCACAACACAUAUUUUAUAGCUACAUUUUCUUGUUUGCUUUGUUUAAUGUGGUCUCCCUUGCCUCUCCUUUUCCCUUAUCUUGGCUCCGGGCUUUAAGGAUCAAUUUGUUGUACGUACCUUCUUUUCCAUCUCUUCAACUUCCAUUCAGCUCAUUUGUUUUCCCAUUUCUCUUUCUUUCUUCUUCUAGCUAUUAAGGAACCUGUCAUAUGUCAGCCCCCAGGGGCCCAAGUGGCAGCUCCCUCAAUUCAUGGAAUGCCUAAUUUUACCCGCCUCUUUGGAGAAGGGGCUAGGUUUCCUUUAAAAAGAAGAAAAAAUCCCUGGUACUGCCUGUUUCUAUCCCUAAGGCUCAAAUAAUUAAAAAGGAUAUUGUUUGACGAAAGAUGGUUUCUAAUGCGCAAUACACAAGGAAAAUUUCCCAGGUGAAAUUUCUGACAGACCAUGAACUCUAUGGAAAGAAGAACAUCUCUCUGUGAUGACCGAGGUGCCAUGUCCCUAGAAGCUGACACCAUAGAAAAGCCUUUGUGCAUAAAUAAACUGCAUGCUAAUAAAACAAUAUUUAUGAUUCAGCCUCCUGACCCCCCCACUUUUUAAGUAUCAAGCUAUAUCCCGGAGGAACAAAAAAAAAAAAAAGUUGAUGUCUACAGUAUAACUAUUAAGGGGAAAUUUGCUCCACUGUUAUUUGGAUGUAAUUGGUACUGAGCAUCACAAUGCACUUGUAAUUGGGUCUGUACUUGUUCACUUCAAGGGUUCCAUGCUAUUUCUACUUGAACCCAUUUUUUGGAUACUGUUCAGCUCAGCAGUGCCAGCUAACUCUUGUUAUGCAGUUGAAAAACUGUGGCCAUUAAAAAUAGGAUACGGUGUGAUUUUGUUUUGCAGCACUGCAUGGAAAAUCAGUUGCUGUUCAUAACAGCUCUGUGGUUGGUUGAUUUAAAGCAGGGGGGUGACUUGGAAUUGACAAGCAGACAGUUUGUGAAAAGGGAUAUUGUAUCUUUAAGGCUUUCUGACUGAUUGUGUUUAACUGCGCCACGCAGCAGGCAGUAAUUAGGCUGUAGCUGCACCGAGAGGCUUAAAGCACUGGCUUGGUUCUCAGUUCUCCAGAUUUUUUUUUUAAGCACAAACAUUUUUUGGAUUUGAAUACAUGAUAAUUUUUUUCAAAACUGUGAGUGAGUGUGUGAGUGAGCAAAUGAAAAGCCGACCCCAGAGGCUUCCUGUGCAGACUGUCACUGAAGACCACCCUGUGCCGAGACGGGCUCUCGGGAGACCAGGCAGCCGCCCCGGGGAGCAGUGAGAACCAUGAUAGGAGUAUAUGAUAUGACUCCUGGAGAAGGUCAAGGUGCUCUUGAAAUGAAAGGAAGGCAGCUCUUAAAAUGUGACAUGGUUUCUUCUGGCCCAGUUCGCGGUGUUAAUGAGACUAGUUGAAGUAGGCUUCUAAGAUUAAUAGACAAAAUGCCUAAAAAUUUGUAUUUAGGGGAAAGGGGAAUUUUUUCUUUACCUAGGCUAUUAGGUUGAAAAAAGACUAUAUUGUGGAAGCAACUCGAACAAGCCAUUAGCUUAAGGAAUGUUUGCCAUUCACUGUUCUGCCUCCCUUACUACCUCCCCGCACCCCUGAAACACCCCAUUGCUGUUUGGGGCAGUAGUGAACAUUGCCGAUUUGUUCUUAUUUGGUAAAGCCUGAGUUUUAAGUUUUCCAGGCAUUUGUUAUCACAGUGGAGCAGUUGACAGAUUUUACACUGACCUUAUAAAAAAACGGACGUUCAAUUACUGUUGGAUUGACCACGGUGACUGUCUUCAUUAUCAAUCAGGCCAACAGUGGCCGAGUACCAACUGUGCAAGAUGCUAUGCUAGGUGCCGUGAGAGAUAACAAUUGUUCUGGAAUAGUAAUUGAGAUCUUUCCUGACACUACAUACAAACUUUUCUUCCUUUUGCUAAUUAUAUGGGUAAGUUAUUCCAUAUAGAUUUGUGUACUGUUUAGUCCUUAAAUUGCUAUGGCAUUCUUUUUUCUUAGUACGUGAAUUGCUUUGUUACAAACCUUUCUUACUUUAUUUUUGAUACCUAUAAAAUACCUUUACUUGUGCACUUGAACACUUCUGUAGAUUGCAAAUAUGUACAAAUUAUACGCAUUUUUGGUUUUAAAUAGUAACUCCUCUUAUCUGUGAAUCAUCUCAUGUGUUUUCCCUCAUAUUAUGUCAUUUGGGUGUCCCUACCCCAUUCUGAGAGUGGUAGGGCCGGUGAUAUUAUCACGUAUAGAAGCUCAGGAGUUGGACAGGAAAAGAGGCUGGAAUUAGGAAUCAGGUUUGUUGGAUCUCUACUCUUCUCACUGUAACACGAUUCUAUAUUCAAUCCCAGAAUGAAGCAUCUUCUAAUUUAAGGGUAAUGGAAACAUUUGGAAUAACUUUACCAUACUAAAGCAUGGAUUAAAAGUCAAAGAUAAGCUACCAGAAGGGGAUUCUGAUUUUCAAAAGUUGUUCCUACCAGUUUUAAGCCAAUGUCUGUCCUUUCUCUAUGGAGUUUCAAGCAUUCAGAAGCACUCUGUACUCUUGGUUUACUCUUGUUUUUGGUUUUUUUGGGGGGUGGGGGAAGACUGCCUUGAAGAUAAAUGACUUUAAUCUGUAGGCUAAGUUGCAUCGAUGUAUUUAUCUUUCUCAACAUGCUUUGUCCUAAGGUCAGUACUUCUUUGAAAGAUUUGAUCUAAAUAAAUUAUAAAUGUGUAUUAAAAUGUAUUUGAUAUUAGCGUAAACACAUUCAAAAUAUACUCUGUCAUUGCUUUGAAAGAAACAAAGAUGAAUGCCAUUCUAUAGUUCAAAUUCCAAAUGUACGUGUGUACUUUUAUAUAUGCCUAUGCCUAAAUGUCGAGGUCAAUAUUUCUAUAAAUUCCUAAGCUUGGUUUAUUUUGUGGUGUUGAUAAAUGCUCCUUGGAAUUAGGAUGUACAGAAGAUCAAAGAUUAAAUUGCAAUUUUUUUUCCAAAGUGACAAUGAGCCUAAUUCACUGUCAGUUAAUGCCAGGUGUUUCUCCCCCUAGUAUUAAGUUCUUCAAAACAGUGGCUGCAUAGGGCACCAUUCACAGAGGCUUAGCGCUAGGGAGAAAAUGAUUACAUUAAAUCGAAUGAUAUGAAUAAUUCAUGACAUCACAUUUUGUAAUCCUGGUGUUAAGCAUAAAACCAGUGGUUUAUUUUUCAGCAAAAUGUUUUUGUAUCAUUUUAGAUAGUGCAUAAUGCAAAACAAUAACUGCAUACAUAAUGCAAGAAGGAUGGUGGUGAAUAGGGUCCUUAAUAGUGCUUGCAGCAUCAUCUGGGGUGUGAUCACAAUAAACACAUUUUGAACCAAUGCCCAUGGGUGCCCAAUGCUUGCUGGAAUCUUCUGAGUCCAAUAGAAUGGCUGCCUUUUAAUUUGUUUUUGAAUAUUACACCUGACCUUUACCAUGGAUCUGAAAGUCAGUCCUUGUAUAUUGCUAAAACUACAAAUCCUUUUGUCCCCUUCCCUUUCAGUUUACUAGGAGGGCAAUUCUACUGGGGGUAAAUAACUGAUUUUUAAAAUGACGUUUGAUUUUCCAAUAUGGAGUUGGAAAUACUAGGAAAAUCCAUGGAGUCUGAACUUGCAUCCUUUCAUAAAGAACUUUAAAUAUUCUUGGAUAAAAUACCAGUUAUUUAGCAAUUCAGCCAGGUACCUUUUAGGGAUGUCAUGUAUAUCUGUGAUACUACAUAAAUGAUUCCUGUCUUAUUUGAAUUUUCUCCUUAUUCUUUGGAGAAAUCAUCUUUUUAAAAAUAAUUAUCAAAGGAAAUUGGAAGUGGCCCUGCAACCUUCAUGAGGCGGUUUCCAGGUCAUGUACACUGUAGCAAUACUCUAACAUGAGUGAUUAUUCUCCUGCAUUUCGGGCUGAAAUAAUUGUGUACCUGGACCAUCUGCGGCUGCCUUUUCCAGCACCUUCCUGUGGACAGCUCCAGGGCACUCUCUGGAAGCCAGAAUGGACUCCUGCUGAUUCGCCCACAUAUUUGUCUUGAAUGAAAGAAUGGCGUAUGCCAGUGGAUUUCAAAGCUUAUCACAAAACAUCUCCACAUCUGAAGUCUGAAGAGUUUAUGUCAAGCAUUUGUAUUACUUACAAUUAAUUAAAUAUACCAUCCGCGUCUUACAACAUGAAUGCAUCUGCUGAUAAUGCUGUAACUUGUAUUAUUAUUUAUGUGAAAUAAUACAUUAGAAAUCAGUGAUUGGUCAGUACCCUUGAAGUCCUGACUUAUUUAUAAUAGAUAUUAAUUACCACAUGUAUAGAAAAUAGUUUGCUUUUAAACAUUUCUUCACCUAAAGGUACUUUAAAAGC